rnacentral:rRNA from 1 species
UCGAACGGUAACAGGAAGCAGCUUGCUGCUUCGCUGACGAGUGGCGGACGGGUGAGUAAUGUCUGGGAAACUGCCUGAUGGAGGGGGAUAACUACUGGAAACGGUAGCUAAUACCGCAUAACGUCGCAAGACCAAAGAGGGGGACCUUCGGGCCUCUUGCCAUCGGAUGUGCCCAGAUGGGAUUAGCUAGUAGGUGGGGUAACGGCUCACCUAGGCGACGAUCCCUAGCUGGUCUGAGAGGAUGACCAGCCACACUGGAACUGAGACACGGUCCAGACUCCUACGGGAGGCAGCAGUGGGGAAUAUUGCACAAUGGGCGCAAGCCUGAUGCAGCCAUGCCGCGUGUAUGAAGAAGGCCUUCGGGUUGUAAAGUACUUUCAGCGGGGAGGAAGGGAGUAAAGUUAAUACCUUUGCUCAUUGACGUUACCCGCAGAAGAAGCACCGGCUAACUCCGUGCCAGCAGCCGCGGUAAUACGGAGGGUGCAAGCGUUAAUCGGAAUUACUGGGCGUAAAGCGCACGCAGGCGGUUUGUUAAGUCAGAUGCGAAAUCCCCGGGCUCAACCUGGGAACUGCAUCUGAUACUGGCAAGCUUGAGUCUCGUAGAGGGGGGUAGAAUUCCAGGUGUAGCGGUGAAAUGCGUAGAGAUCUGGAGGAAUACCGGUGGCGAAGGCGGCCCCCUGGACGAAGACUGACGCUCAGGUGCGAAAGC